rnacentral:rRNA from 1 species
UACGAAGGGGGCUAGCGUUGCUCGGAAUGACUGGGCGUAAAGGGCGCGUAGGCGGAUGGCACAGUCAGAUGUGAAAUUCCCGGGCUUAACCUGGGGGCUGCAUUUGAUACGUGUGAUCUAGAGUGAGGAAGAGGGUCGUGGAAUUCCCAGUGAUAGAGGUGAAAUUGUAGAUAUUGGGAAGAACACCGGUGGCGAAGGCGGCGACCUGGUCCUUG